GUUUCAUUGCGACAGCUAUGCUAUUUCUGAUUGCAAUUCACUGAUUAUUAUUUCCACCAGAAAUAAUUAAAAUCUUGGGAUGCAGUCUAUACAGAGAUGUGGCUUAUUAAUGGACCAAGAAUGACACUGAGCAACUCAGCAGGGACAUUUCAUCAAAAUUAAAGAUCCACAUCAACAGUGGACAGAAACCAGGCUUUGAAUGUCAAAUUUACAAUCACUUGGCAAAUCAAGAGGAACACAAAGAUCAUGUAAUUGAAGAGCCCAUCAACAAAAGGCUUAUCAACAGAAUGCAAGAGAUGAAAAGACACUGUAUUAAGCAGUUUGUCAAAAGGGAUAUAUUUGCAGGCCAAACUCCACCACCACUACCAACAAAUAGGUACUUCUAGCCAACAAACCCACAUAUCCCAGGCAUCUAUGGAGAUGUGGUCCAAAGUUGACCAGGAAAACCUAAAAACGAUAAUACAGCUUCAGUGUUAGGAGCAUCCUCAAGUUUUAUUUCAGACCAUGUGCUCUAUCAUUGUCAACAAGAAGUUCUAUUGUUCAAAGAACAUAGAAGGAACACAGAAGGAACACAAAAGGAACACAAAAGGAACACAAAAGCUGAAACUGUGUUGUUUACACACCAAACAAACUGGCAGAAUUAGCUUUCAAUCAAUUUGGAAAUGAGAUUAAACUUCUGGAUGCCAUUUACAAGACCAUGAGAUGUGACUUGCUGCUAUUCUUUCCAGUUGCUAAAACCAACAUAAACUGUAUAGGGUUGGGCUCUUUCAUCAUUCAAAGUGAAACAACAGCUGCAAUAUGUACAAGAACUGUUAACAAUCUUCCAUGAUUAGGAUGAUUCUUGGAAACCCUGAUAUUUUUUGACAGACUUCUGCCAAGAGAAAAUAAAUGCAAGAAAGCAAACAUUC